GAUGAACGCUGGCGGCGUGCUUAGCACAUGCAAGUCGAACGAAGCACUUUAUUUGAUUUCCUUCGGGACUGAUUAUUUUGUGACUGAGUGGCGGACGGGUGAGUAACGCGUGGGUAACCUGCCUUGUACAGGGGGAUAACAGUUGGAAACGGCUGCUAAUACCGCAUAAGCGCACAGCAUCGCAUGAUGCAGUGUGAAAAACUCCGGUGGUAUAAGAUGGACCCGCGUUGGAUUAGCUAGUUGGUGAGGUAACGGCCCACCAAGGCGACGAUCCAUAGCCGACCUGAGAGGGUGACCGGCCACAUUGGGACUGAGACACGGCCCAAACUCCUACGGGAGGCAGCAGUGGGGAAUAUUGCACAAUGGGCGAAAGCCUGAUGCAGCGACGCCGCGUGAGCGAAGAAGUAUUUCGGUAUGUAAAGCUCUAUCAGCAGGGAAGAUAAUGACGGUACCUGACUAAGAAGCACCGGCUAAAUACGUG
rnacentral:rRNA from 1 species